GACACCACUUUGAUUGGGACAACACAUCCAUCCCAGGACAAGCCAAACAGAGACGCACACGAGAAUUCCUAGAAGCAUGGCAUUCCAACCGGAACUCCAUCAACAAACACAUUGAUUUGGAGCCAAUCUACCAUCUUUUGAGAAAAAGAACAGGAAAUGACAUCACCAACCCAAGGAAACCUAAACAGAUAAAUAGAAAGUGGGACAUAACAACAGUGCUUCGCCGGAGGCUCACUGAUGAUGUUACCUAGAAUGGUGACGAAACGUCUGAAAACUAACCUGCCAGCUCAGCGAGCAAACUCACAUCCAGAGGGUACAAACACAAUAUUGAGGAAACAAUAAUGUAGAACCUGUGUGGGUAGAAUUGAGAAAUACCAAGGGGCAAAAACAUUAGUGGAGAUGGUACCUUGAACACCAAAUAGUAUUAGUGAUGAAGUUGUAGACUUGUUUCCCAAGCCAGUGAGUUUGAUUGCAGGUGUUUCGACACCCUGCUAGGUAGAAUCAUUGGCGCACCUCCAGUGAAACGUCACUGUUCUGUCCCACUUGUUAUUUAUAUGCCUUAGUUUGCUGGGAUGGUUGUUAUCACUUCCCGUUGUGUUUUUCAGUGGGUUGUAUAUUGGGUCCAGUUCAGUAUGGCGUUGAUGGAGUUCUGGUUGGAAUGCCAGGUCUCCAGAAAUCUCCCGGCAUGUCUCUGUUUGGCUUGUGUUAUUAUGGAUGUGUUGUCCCAGUCGAAUUUGUGUUCUUUGUCCAUUGUCUUUGUCUCAGUACACACAGAUAAACAUCUAUUUGACAUAUAGAUUGGAUGCAUCAAAAAGUUGACAAUACCGUGGAGGAGGAAUACCCAGAGUGUGUACAGGGAGGGUAUCCUCAAGGAUAUUCAUGGAUCAGCUUAUGUACAAAGCAAUGAAAGUCUCCUCCCCAUCUCCCAAAUCCAGCAGAACUGAUUGAUCUACUUUCAUUUCCCAUAGGAACAUCAAAAUUAGAAACAGAAUUAGAUUCCGGGGACCCGUAAAGAGUGUGCAGACACCAAGGCAACAGCAGCACCCUGUCAGAGAACAACCGGCCUUUCACUGUUGCACUACAGUUCUUCAACUGAAGGUAUGAUCUGAAAACAUCAAGACUGUCUGCAACAUGAACAUUACUCUUACAGAUGCCGACCGAUCCACUGCCUACUUCAGAUUUCCAGCAGUCAUUUCCUCUGGAAUCCUAUCGGAGCUGCCAUGCGUAAUUCCUGGGCUGCCCGAGUGAAAUGUGGCUGACUGAUUGAAAAGGGCCUGAGCCCAGCUACAGAUAUGGAAUCCCUCGACGGCAAUCUGAAGUGAGAAGAUGAGUGAUGUGAUAGAGAGCGCGUUUCCACAAUGGUCUGGGUCUCGGUGUCUGGUCAGACCAUAGCACAAGGUGGCCCCUUUAAUAACACAUUUAAUCCAGUAAAGAAUACAUUGAAAAGGAACUUCAUUACAUUACAAACACGGAGACACACUGCUAAACUAUUUAGCUUUAUACAAGGGAGUGACAAAAUUCAGUAUUAACAUUCCCUAAUACUUUAUCGUAUUCAGUUUAGAACCAAUGUACAUAAAUUCAAUAUUUGCUCAAAUAAACAUGCCUGUUGUUUUAAACCCUUUGGGCUUCUGUUUAAUUUGAAAAGCAGUAACUUUUUUUUCCUUUUUCAUUUGUGUUUCAUUUUUUUUUUAGGAAAAAAGCACCAAAUAUUCGAAAUCAGUUCAUUCUUCACGAGAACUCCUGUUUUAUUCGUUCACCUCCUUCCCCACCGUGCGUGCGGCUCUCGAUGGUUCAUUUGGCCGCAUGCUCACUGUUGCUCAUGGUUAGUUCAAGGCCCCUUGUAGUCUGGUCCACCACCAGAAGCUAGAUAUGCAGAAGCCCCUAAGCAAGCGGCAGCUUCACAGAAUCCGGGGAUACCGGGAGGUCCAGGCAAACCAGGGCGGCCAGGCUGUCCAGGCACACCGGGCACUCCCUGUUCACCAUCCCUACCAUUUAUACUCCUUCCAGGCAUUCCUGGGGG